GAUGAACGCUAGCUACAGGCUUAACACAUGCAAGUCGAGGGGUAGCAGGGUAGCAAUACCGCUGACGACCGGCGCACGGGUGAGUAACACGUAUCCAACCUUCCCAUAACUCGGGGAUAGCCUUUCGAAAGAAAGAUUAAUACCCGAUAGUACUUUUUCAAGGCAUCUUGAGAAAGUUAAAGAUUUAUUGGUUAUGGAUGGGGAUGCGUUCCAUUAGAUAGUUGGUGAGGUAACGGCUCACCAAGUCUUCGAUGGAUAGGGGUUCUGAGAGGAAGGUCCACCACAUUGGUACUGAGACACGGACCAAACUCCUACGGGAGGCGGCAGUGAGGAAUAUUGGUCAAUUGGCGAGAGCCUGAACCAGCCAAGUAGCGUGAAGGAUGAAGGUCCUAUGGAUUGUAAACUUCUUUUAUAGUAGAAUAAAGUGACCUACGUGUAGGUUUUUGUAUGUAUACUAUGAAUAAGGAUCGGCUAACUCCGUGCCAGCCGCCGCGGUAA
rnacentral:rRNA from 1 species